rnacentral:rRNA from 1 species
CUACGGGAUGCUCCAGUAGGGAAUCUUGCGCAAUGGGGGCAACCCUGACGCAGCAAUGCCGCGUGAGUGAGGAAGGCUUUCGGGUUGUAAAGCUCUGUCCUUGGGGAAAAAGGGGUGAUGGUUAAUACCCAUUAUCAUUGAUGGUACCCAAGAAGAAAGCACCGGCUAACUUCGUGCCAGCAGCCGCGGUAAUACGAAGGGUGCAAGCGUUGUUCGGAUUUAUUGGGCGUAAAGCGUGCGUAGGCGGAUCUUCAAGUCAGGUGUGAAAUCUCGGGGCUUAACCCCGAAACUGCGCCUGAAACUGUCUAUCUAGAAUCCCGGAGAGGGAAGGGGAAUUUCGCAUGUAGGGGUAAAAUCCGUAGAGAUGCGAAGGAACACCAGAGGCGAAGGCGCCUUCCUGGACGGGUAUUGACGCUGAGGCACGAAAGCGUGGGGAGCAAACAGGAUUAGAUACCCCCGUAGUC